GGGGUAGAAAGCAUUUCAAAGGCAGGGCCCGACUCAGGGUUACAUGGCUGAAAACCCUGUGUGUGUGUUUGUUUGGGAUAGAGUGCCAAGCCAGGUAUCCACAGUCUACUAUCUUCUGGGUGAAAUGAAGACGAGUUCCAGGUAGUGUGACUGGCCCUGGCUUUAAUGUUUCUACUUCCUGCACUCUCUAAGCGGCCCUUGUGUCAUGCUCAAACCGCCACAGAAGAAAUGGGAGUGGAGGACACAGAGGAAUCUGCCAGGAUUUCUGCCAGCAUGGUUCUCUUAUUCUGCUUGGUACGAUGGGGAGCUUUCACUGAAGACGGAGUUCACCGGUAUUUUCCCUCCAGUCGCCAAGCAAUGGAAUAACUCUCGGAGGGGUAGCGAGCAAAACACCAGCGUUCAGCGACCAGCUUGAGCGGUGGUACGCUGAAGUAAGAGCACUGGCUUUUGGAAAAAUCUGCGGACUACCGGGCGAGCAAAGAGAGAGAGACAGCCUACCGCUGUGUCGGUCGAGCAGAGAGCGGGAUCUCCGGCGGCUGAAGUGUGGUUCUUGAAUCGGCCAGAUACUGUUCCAUCCUCUUUUCUGCCAAUCAAGCAAAGAUGAGGACAACACCCAAACUGGCACGUAAGUAGCAUUACAGUCAAGAGUGGUUCGGGGACAGUGAAAAGCAGGCUGCGCCUAUAUGCAGUGCACUGCAGUGUGAUAGAGUAUCGCGUUAUGAGCUUCAGUGGUUCGUAGGUUAUUUUCCCAUUGGGUACUCGGACAUCAUUUAAAACUUGCUCAACACUCGCAAACAUUAGAUUUCAAGUAGAUUUAUAUUAUAAAUAUCCAUCAUGUACGUGUUUAGUGGUUUGUUUUGUUUUUGUAAUGGCUUUGUUUGUUUUGUUUGACUACUGUUUGAGAUUUGUCCCAUUAUGUAUUUUUUUUUUAAACAUUUUGUUACACAAUUCUCCUAAUGUUCAGCCUAAUUCAGCCUAAUGUUUGACCUUUAAAAACUGUUCUUAAUAAUUUUUCAAGAUGUAUUGAUUUGGCCUUGAUCUAGGCUACUUGAGAGUAGGCUGUCAAUCAUAAAUAUUGAAACAUCACACUUGUCAAAUGAUUGUUCCAAAGUAAAUGUUUAAUAUGUAUUAAUCCAUUUCUGAGUUUAUACUGAUUUAUAGUUUGAAGUUAAAGAGCAAUAUAGUAAAUUAGAGAACAGAAAUGUUUGUGGGUAGAGUUAAGUUAGUAUAACUAUAUUACGUUUAAAAUUGCACUCUUUAACCAUCCACUCUCCCUUUUCCUUGGGUAUUUCAUAGGCUACAUGUAUUGAGUGCUUAUAAAUUAAUAUUUUCUUUGGUGCAGGCCUACUGCUCUCCAAUCACUAGCACGACACCUAGUGGACAAUAAUAUAACAUUUAGAGAUUCAUCAUGGUUAUUUUCUGUCAUUUUUCUUACCAUGAAGUCUCUCUCUAUCUCUGUCUCUCUGAGAAAAGGAAGGAUCUGUUUAAAAAGUACAUCCAUUAAUUAAAUAAACAUAUUACAUCCAAUUAGUAAUAUCAGUGCUGGUUAUGUUGGAUUAUAUUCAGUAAAUAUGGAUAUUUUAGGACUUUAGUGUGAUUAAAGAUAUAAUGAGUUAGGCUAUAGGCAAUAGGGUUAUUAUGGGAUAUAUAUUGAGGCAGGCCUAAGGGUUAUUAUGGGAGGUAUAUUGAGUUAGGCUAUAGGCCUAAGGGUUAUUAUUGCAGACAUGGUUUUAUAUCGGGUCAGAUGUACAUUUUGAAAGGGAGAAAAAGAUGAUUACAUUUUCCAGAAGGGUGGGCUAUAGGCUUUUAAAAACAAUAUUUAACAGAUUCCCUCUAGGAUAUUUUCACACUCAUUAUGUUUAGAGUUGAUAGGAAUGGGCCUGCAUUUAAUGAGAAACAAUGUGUUUUUAUUAAAAAGUUAAUUUGCUAUGAAUUACAGUGUUUUUCUUUCUAGUUUGUACAUGAAUAAAAUAGCCUAUAAAUGUGUUAUUAUUGAUUUUGCUCAGUCGAUUUUGCUCAAUUUUGCUCAUAUUUUU
rnacentral:lncRNA from 1 species